UAUUGUAAUUUCUUUGCUGAUGUGGCUUUCCUCGAGCAUUGGGUGGACCAAGAUGGACAUUACUGCUGCUAGAAAAUCGACUGAACCUCACCUUGAGUUGUUCCAGUUGUUAUCAUUAGCACACCACAUAGAUUACACUUCUAAGGGAUAUAUCCAUCAUCAUUGGCAUUUGUGUCUUGUCUUCACUUUCAAAAUCUCGGACGCCUUUCCCGGUCUCUUCUAAACAUCAAAUCGCAAGCAUCCUUCUCGCAGAUAACAGUGGAACUUGAAGAACUGCAAGAGGUUCAGAGGUUGAAGCCAUGCUGCAUAAGACGAUCUGUGCCAUGUCGAAUGUGUUCAUUGGGUCAUCAGGCUCGACAGUCGCUGAGGACAUAUUCCGGCUCCGGGGACUGGGGAUCAGCUUUGGUUUGUGAUGAGUAUAUGUGGCAAGGUUUUGGACCGUGGUGAGAAGAUUGGGCUUCUGGUAGACAAAACAGAGAACCUCCGCUCACAGGUGGUGAACCUCAAUAUCAUUGAGGGCCUGAACCUGCUAAAGGAUCCGAAAUACUGGUGCUGAUGCCUUUUACUGCUACACAGCUCACCAAAGAUCUACGGAAGAAACGAGUCCCUUGGAAACAAUGGCAAUCAUUGGCAACAAGGAGAUCAUUGACAUUAACCAAGGUAUGUUAGUUGCUUAGACUGGUGUUAAAAAAAAAAAAAAAAAACCAGGAUGCA